AAUGCACAUUGUUAAACUUGGAGUUGAGGCCACUGGAUGACCAAAGAAUUGACAAGUGUUAAGUAGUGCGCAUCAUGGAAAGCAGGUCUUUCGCUAACACCACAGGUCUCUGACCCAAUAAGUGGAAUUUGAUAGUAAUCUUUACAGGU
ensembl:snoRNA SNORA62 Small nucleolar RNA SNORA62/SNORA6 family